CGUAGAUUGCAUGUAUGUAAUUUCCUGAUUCAGGGUCAACAACAUGGCGCUGUCCAUGGACUAUGUCAUCAAAUGGUUUGAGUGAUAUUUUCCUACGAGUGCCAUCUAUUUCUAUGAUACUUAGUUAAUAUUGUACAAGAGCUUAUGCAGAGGCAUUAGAUCGUUAUUCAAUUGAUUGUAUUCGUAGUUUUUUUUCCAUCGUCAAAGACUUGAUCAAGUGUCCACCUAUUGAUCAAACGUGUGGACUCGCAGUCGAGAAAGGAUGAGAUGGUUUCCAGAGCUGUUUGCCCAGUGUACUGGUGGGGCUGCAGUUUAUGGGAAGUGUGUGACUGCUUCCACCACAGGCAGACAGGAGCUGAGAAAAGACCUGUGUGUUAGUUUGAUGCUCUGAAGGCGUGCUUUGUUACAGCAGCCAAAAAGGGAGUGAAGUAGUGUCCAUUCUGCCCAACAUAACCAGGCAAUGGACCCAAUGCCCCCCCCCAUAACCAGGCAAUGGACCCAAUGUCCCCCCCAUGUUAUAUCUUCAACAUAACCAGGCAAUGGACCCAAUGUCCCCCCCAUGUUAUAUCUUCAACAUAACCAGGCAAUGUCCCCCCCAUGUUGCAUCUUCAACAUAACCAGGCAAUGGACCCAAUGCCCCCCCCCAUAACCAGGCAAUGGACCCAAUGUCCCCCCCAUGUUGUAUCUUCAACAUAACCAGGCAAUGGACCCAAUAUGUUGCAUCUUCAACAUAACCAGGCAAUGUCCCCCCCCAUGUUGCAUCUUCAACAUAACCAGGCAAUGGACCCAAUGUCCCUCCAUGUUAUAUCUUCAACAUAACCAGGCAAUGGACCCAAUGUCCCCCCCAUGUUAUAUCUUCAACAUAACCAGGCAAUGUCCCCCCCAUGUUGCAUCUUCAACAUAACCAGGCAAUGGACCCAAUGCCCCCCCCCAUAACCAGGCAAUGGACCCAAUGUCCCCCCCAUGUUGUAUCUUCAACAUAACCAGGCAAUGGACCCAAUAUGUUGCAUCUUCAACAUAACCAGGCAAUGGAUCCAAUGUCCCUCCAUGUUCCAUGAACAUCAUGUAGUACUGUAUCAGUAAUGUGCUGGCAGGUGCUGAAAGACUUCUUGUCUAUUCUCACCUGUUUAAAAUUGGUUCCAGGGGUAAUGCCAAGACAGCGUUUGGACAACACUCUUUUCAAUAAUGCUUCAAUGUCAUACUGUGUGACUAUGUACUAACAUGUAGCCCACUACCGGAGACUUGUAGGACUGUGUCUUUAUAAUAUGUCCUUUAUGGCUCAGUUGGUAGAGCAUGGCGCUUGCAAUGGCAGGAUUGUGGAUUUGUGUCCUGGGGUCACUGAUACGUAAAAUGUAUGCACAGCACGGAUGACUAAGUCGAUAAAAGCGUCUGCUAAAUGGAAUAUUGUUAUGUAAAUA